rnacentral:lncRNA from 1 species
CAGCUACCCUGAUGCACAACCCAACUGUCAUGUCGAUAAUAAAUAAAUAAUAAAAUUAAAUUAAAGCAUACAUAUGAUUAAUUCAAUAUAAAAUUAAUUUAAGGGCAAAAUUUUAAUCAAUCUAUUGGCCAUAACAUAUGUCCCAAUAGAGUCGUCAAUGUACUUGAUCGGAUGCUGCUGGAUGGAUCGAUUCUGCCAUGCCUUCUGUCACCUAUCAGAAUACUCCUCAAUAUUUCAUUAGUUGCAGAGGGCCUCCCAUAUGUCCGUCCGCAUCCAAUAACCUGUAUAAGACUUUCAGUUCGAUGUGACUCGAAAUUAGAGUGUUGUCUGAUGGACUGCCUA